rnacentral:rRNA from 1 species
AUUGAACGCUGGCGGCAGGCCUAACACAUGCAAGUCGAGCGGAUGAAGCGUGCUUGUUCCUGGAUUCAGCGGCGGACGGGUGAGUAAUACCUAGGAAUCUGCCUCGUAGUGGGGGAUAACGUCUGGAAACGGGCGCUAAUACCGCAUACGUCCUGAGGGUGAAAGUGGGGGAUCUUUGGACCUCACGCUAUCAGAUGAGCCUAGGUCGGAUUAGCUAGUUGGUGGGGUAAGGGCCUACCAAGGCGACGAUCCGUAACUGGUCUGAGAGGAUGAUCAGUCACACUGGAACUGAGACACGGUCCAGACUCCUACGAGAGGAAGCAGUGGGGAAUGUUGGACAAUGGGCGAAAGACUGAUCCAGCCAUGCCGCGUGUGUGAAGAAGGUCUUCGGAUUGUAAAGCACUUUAAGUUGGGAGGAAGGGCAGUAAGUUAAUACCUUGCUGUUUUGACGUUACCAACAGAAUAAGCACCGGCUAACUUCGUG